rnacentral:rRNA from 1 species
CGGUAAUUCCAGCUCCAAUAGCGUAUACUAAAGUUGUUGCAGUUAAAAAGCUCGUAGUUGGAUUUCUGCGGGGACGGAGCGGCCGGACGCAACUUGCGUCUCGAGCUAGCGCUUUCCCCGCAUCCUGCCGCGAACCGUGCUACCAUUAGUUUGGUGGCGCUGGGGAUCGGCUCGAUUACUUUGAGAAAAAUAGAGUGUUCAAAGCAGGCCACACGCCUUGAAUAAGUUAGCAUGGAAUAAUGACUAAGGACUUCGGUUCUAUUUUGUUGGUGUUCGGGACUGAAGUAAUGAUUGAUAGGGACAGUUGGGGCGGUCUGUAUUCCAAAGCGAGAGGUGAAAUUCUUAGACCUUCGGAAGACAAACAGCUGCGAAAGCGUUCCGCAAGGAUGUUCCCUUUGAGCAAGAACGAAAGUUGGGGGAUCGAAGACGAUCAGAUACCGUCGUAGUCUCAACUAUAAACUAUACCAGCUAGGGAUCGGCCAACGUUUAAUUAUUCGACUUGGUCGGCACCUUAUGAGAAAUCAAAGCAUCUGGGUUCCGGGGGGAGUAUGGUCGCAAGGCUGAAACUUAAAGGAAUUGACGGAAGGGCACCACCAGCCGUGGAGCCUGUGGCUUAAUUUGACUCAACACGGGAAAACUUACCAGGUCCAGACAUAGGAAGGAUUGACAGAUUGAUAGCUCUUUCUUGAUUCUGUGGGUGGUGGUGCAUGGCCGUUUUUAGUUGGUGGAGUGAUUUGUCUGCUUAAUUGCGUUAACGAACGAGACCCCAGCCUGCUAAAUAGCGCGGCCGAGCUUUGCUCAGUGCGAGCUUCUUAGAGGGACCAUGAUGCGCGAUAGCACAAGGAAGUUUGGGGCAACAACAGGUCUGUGAUGCCCUUAGAUGUUCUGGGCCGCACACGGGCUACACUGGCGCCUGCAACGAGCAUAUCAGCUGGCCCGAGAGGGUCUUGGCUAAUCUUUUGAACCGGCGCCGUGCUUGGGAUUGACCUUUGCAAUUGUAGGUCAUGCAACGAGGAAUGCCUUGUAAACGCGAGUCAUCAGCUCGCAUUGAAUACGUCCCUGCCCCUUGUACACACCGCCC